rnacentral:rRNA from 1 species
AAAAAACWAGGAUUAGAUACCCUAGUAUAAAAAAUUAAAUUGAUUAGUAUAGUAAAGAAAUUUAAAAAUUUUGGCGGUUAAUUAUUAAUUAGAGGAGCUUGCUUAUAGAAUUUACUCUUUUUAUUUUAUUAAUUUAUGUUUAUUUAUCUCCGUUAUUAGGUAUUUAUAUAUUUUAUAAGAUAGUUCUAAUAUUUCAGGUCAAGAUGUAGCAUGAAUUAAGGAAGGUUAGCUACAUUAAUGUAAUUUAUGGAUUUAUUUUUAUAGGAAUAUUUAAUGAAAUUGAAUUUAAUUGUAAUAUUAUUUAUAAAAAUAUUUUGAAUUUUAAUGAUUAAUGUACAUAUUGCCCGUCAUUUCUUUUGAUUAAAAAGAGUAAGUCGUAACAAAGUAAAAUUUAAGGGA